UACGUAGGGUGCGAGCGUUGUCCGGAAUUAUUGGGCGUAAAGAGCUUGUAGGCGGUUUGUCGCGUCUGCUGUGAAAAUCCGGGGCUCAACCCAGGACUUGCAGUGGGUACGGGCAGACUAGAGUGUGGUAGGGGAGACUGGAAUUCCUGGUGUAGCGGUGAAAUGCGCAGAUAUCAGGAGGAACACCGAUGGCGAAGGCAGGUCUCUGGGCCACUACUGACGCUGAGAAGCGAAAGCAUGGGGAGCGAACAGGAUUAGA
rnacentral:rRNA from 1 species